rnacentral:misc_RNA from 1 species
GGAAGUAAAAGUCGUAACAAGAUUUCCGUAGGUGAACCUGCGGAAGGAUCAUUAUUGUAUAACCGAGGUGCGAGGGCUGUCGCUGACCCGAAAGGUCGUGCACGCCCGAGUGCCCUCACACACAUCCAUCUCACCCCUAUGUGCACCACCGCGUGGGUCCCCCUUUGGCUUGUUCGGAGGGGGGCUUACGUUUUCACACAAACUUUGUAUGCAGUGUAGAAUGUAUUUUUUGUUUUUGCGAUCACGCAAUCAAUACAACUUUCAACAACGGAUCUCUUGGCUCUC